rnacentral:rRNA from 1 species
GACGGAGGGCGCAAGCGUUGUUCGGAAUUACUGGGCGUAAAGCGCACGUAGGCGGAUUGCUAAGUCAGGGGUGAAAUCCUGGAGCUCAACUCCAGAACUGCCUUUGAUACUGGCGACCUUGAGUCCGGGAGAGGUGAGUGGAACUGCGAGUGUAGAGGUGAAAUUCGUAGAUAUUCGCAAGAACACCAGUGGCGAAGGCGGCUCACUGGCCCGGUACUGACGCUGAGGUGCGAAAGCGUGGGGAGCAAACAGGG